rnacentral:rRNA from 1 species
CACAGACAACCAGGAUGUUGGCUUAGAAGCAGCCACUCAUUCAAAGAGUGCGUAAUAGCUCACUGGUCGAGUGAUCCUGCGCCGAAGAUUUCCGGGGCUAAAACUUACUACCGAAGCUACGGCAUCAGUAAUGAUGGGUAGGGGAGCUUCCCAUAUGGGUUGAAGCAUGACCGUAAGGACAUGUGGACAGUAUGGGAGUGAGAAUGUUGGCAUGAGUAGCGAGAUGUGGGUGAGAAUCCCACAGGCCGUAAACCCAAGGUUUCCAGGGGAAGGUUCGUCCGCCCUGGGUUAGUCGGGACCUAAGCUGAGGCCGAAAGGCGUAGGUGAUGGACAACAGGUUGAUAUUCCUGUACUAACGAUAACCGGUUGAGAGAAGGGAUGACACAGUAGGAUAAGCUAAGCACACUGUUGGUUAGGUGUGCCCAAGCAUUGAGGCAGUCAAAGCAGGCAAAUCCGCUUUGAUAAUGCUGGGAUGUGAUGGGGAGCGAAAUUUAGUAGCGAAGUAGCUGAUUUCACACUGUCAAGAAAAGUCUCUAUCGAGGUUAAAGGUACCCGUACCGCAAACCGACACAGGUGGGUGAGGAGAGUAUCCUAAGGCCAGCGAGAGAACUGUUGUUAAGGAACUCGGCAAAAUGACCCCGUAACUUAGGGAUAAGGGGUGCCACCAUCCGGUGGCCGCAGAGAAUAGGCUCAAGCGACUGUUUACCAAAAACAUAGGUUUCUGCUAAGUCGCAAGACGAUGUAUAGGAGCUGACGCCUGCCCGGUGCUGGACGGUUAAGGGGAUCUGUUAGAGCAAUCGAAGCAGUGAACUUAAGCCCCAGUAAACGGCGGCCGGAACCAUAACGGUCCUACGGUAGCGAAAUUCCUUGUCGGGGCAGUUCCGACCCGCACGAAAGGCGUAACGAUGUGGGCACUGUCUCA